UGCCACUGCCUCUACCGCCAUAGAUAUGUUGUGAAGAGAAAAUAGAAAAGGGCUUACCUUUCUUACUUCUUAAUUUCUUUUCUCUUAGUGUGUUUAUAAAGAGGAGAUGAGGGGUGAGUAUUAAUGUAUUGCCUUUAUUUCUUAAUAGAGGAAAGAAGAAAGAGCGUGGAAGAGAAGAAAUAGGGUGGGACUGUGGGAGAGAAGAAGGGGUAAUUUGUUUUUGUAAAAAGUGUGAUAGAAGAAUGGGGUGGGAGAGAAGAUGGAACAUAGAAUAAGGGUAUGAUUUGUUUUUUGUGGAAAAGGGAUGUUUUGGUGACUCAAGAAGGAUAGAAGAAUGAGUUAAUAUGUACGGAGAAUAAAUGG
rnacentral:lncRNA from 1 species